UUGUUGAUUAUAUGAGAUGCAAAACACGCCAACCCUAUCAGAACUAAUGGGAACAGCAGAAACUGCCCUGGAAGAAGACAGUGCUGUAAAUGUCCUCUGCUUUACAAAUAUUUACCUUCAACGUGAAUUGCACCACAAGGCCCACUAUAACCUGUGCGACUUAAGUAGCAGAGAGGCUCAAUUACAGAUAAUCCUUGAUUUAUGACCACAAUUGAGGCCAAUUUUUCUAUUGCUAAGUGAGACAUUUGUUAAGUGAGUUUUGUCCCAUUUUAUGACCUCUCUUGCCCCAGUUGUUAAGUGAAUCACUGCAGUUAAGUUAGUAAAAGGGUUCUUAAGUGAAUCUGGCUUCUCCAUUGACUUCACUUGUCAGAAGGUCACAAAAGGUGAUCCCAGGACACUGCAACUGUCAUACAUCAGUUGCCAAGCUUCUGAAUUUUGAUCACGUGAACAUGGGAAUGCUGCAAUGGUCAUAAGUGAAAUCUCUACAAAGACUUUUCUAGCCACAGUCGCAAUUCGUUCGAGUAGAAGCUAAAAGUCCAAGAGAACCCUCAAACUGAAUCACACUUGACUCUUCCUGAGUUUAUACGGUGUGUCAGGGUAAUUUCUUGGAAUAUCAUGAAGUCUUGGUAGUACAGUGAUCUAAAGCACCCUGUUAUUAAGACCAGCUGCCUGCAAUUACUGCAGAUUCGAAUCUCUCCAGGCUCAAGGUGGACUCAGCCUUCCAUCCUUUCUAAGUUUUACAGAGAGAAACCAGACAGAGAAGUAAAUCCUUUGUUCUUAACAUAAUGAACCUGGACAGAUGAUCCAUAUGUGAAGACGUACACUGGAUGCAAGAUGAGGAGAUUUUAGAUUGUAUAUUUGAAACUUCCAGUGGGGGUUUAAAAAAAAAAUCAGCAUUCCAUUUGAAAUAAUAAAAUUCAGUAUUAAACACUAGGAAGAAGAUUCUGCUACCCCAUUCUAUAAAUCAAAUCUAAAUCAAGUUAUUGAGAAGAUGAAGGAAGCAAUUCUAGAAACAGAACUGGCCAGCGUCUUGCCAGCACUAUGUUCAAAUGAACUGCCUGACUUAGUACAACAGACUGAUCCAUUCAACAUACUAAGAUAAUGGUUAGGUUCAUCUAGCUUGGUGAACCACAAAUUAGCAAAUACAUUUUAGCAUGUUGUGUGAACUUAAGAGUUAAACAUGUUCAGUUUUAUUAAAAUGAAUAGUUUUGCUGUGGAGUUUAUUAAAAUAAACUGCUUGCUUCUGG